rnacentral:pre_miRNA from 1 species
UUAAUACUCCUUCCGUCCCAAAAUACUUGUCACGGGAAUGGAUGCAUGUAGAUGUAUUUUAGUUCUAGAUACAUCCAUUUUUAUAAAUUUGUGCGAUGAGUAAUUCCUGAUGGAGGGAGUACAUU